UACGUAGGGACCAAGCGUUGUUCGUAAUUACUGGGCGUAAAGGGCGCGUAGGCGGUGAGGUAUGUGUGGUGUGAAAGCCCCGGGCUCAACCUGGGAAUUGCAUUCGAGACUGAAUAGCUAGGGUGCGGUAGAGGGAAGCGGAAUUUCCGGUGUAGCGGUGAAAUGCGUAGAUAUCGGAAGGAACAUCAGUGGCGAAAGCGGCUUCCUGGACCAGCACCGACGUUCAGGCACGAAAGCGUGGGGAGCAAACAGG
rnacentral:rRNA from 1 species